CCAAGCCCUAUGAUUACCGUACCCCCCAGUGGGCGGGGCUUAGGGUUACCAUAGCAACAAAGGGGAGCAGCCAAUAGGAAGCCUUGCCUGCUUGCUCCGCUGUCAUCGCUGUGGGUCAAUGGGGAGAAGAUGGGGGGGAGCGAGCCCAUGGCGGGAACACGGACAGCCAAUGGGGAGCGGAGAAACACAAUGGAGGGAAACCGGCAGCCAAUGGGCGCCUGCCAAACAGGGAUGACGUCAUCAACCCGUAGAGGGACACGGAGCUCACCCGGAUGGAGGGGUCGCGCGUAUAUGACGUCAUCACCCCGCGCCCGACCAGUUGAUGACGUCACAGCGGCACUUCCGUUUUAUUCCAAGCGAUUUGGCCCCAAAGUCGCCCCGCCCCCACGUGGCAACACGUGACGUCACCGACCGCCCCGCCCACAUAGCAACACGUGACGUCACUGCCCCACACAUCAGCCCCACUUAUGGGGCAGGGCUCCACUUAUGGGUCACAGCCCCACUUAUGGGGCAGAGCCCCACUUAUGGGGCAGGGUUCCACUUAUGGGGCAGGGUUCAACUUAUGGGGCAGAACCCCACUUGGGGGACAAGGCUCCACUUGUGGGUCACAGUCCUACUACUUAUGGGGCAGGGCUUCACUUAUGGGUCACAGCCCCACUUGGGGGUCACAGUCCUACUUAUGGGUCGCAGGUCCAUUUAUGGGUCACAGGUCCACUUGUGGGUCAGAUCCUACUUAUGGGUCACAGGUCCACUUGUGGGUCAGAUCCUACUUAUGGGUCGCAGGUCCACUUAUGGGUCGCAGGUCCACUUGUGGGUCACAGUCCUACUUAUGGGGCAGGGCUCCACUUGUGGGUCAGUCCGUGGGUCCAUCUAUCCAUCUCCUGUGGGUCCACAUCCACUUGUGGGGCAGCGCUAUGGGGCAGAGCCGCGGAGUGUCGCUAUGGGGCAGUGCCCCACUUAUGGGGCAGAGCUUCACAUACUUAGGGGUUGCAGCCCCACUUGUGGGGCAGAGCUCCACUUAUGGGUCAGGACCCCACUUAUGGGGCGGGAUGCCACUUAUGGGUCGCAGCCCCACUUGUGGGUCAGAGCUUCACAUACUUGGGGGUCACAGCCACACUUAUGGGUCAGUCCAGGGGGGGGGGAGGUUACGACACUGUGGGGCAGAGCCAUGGAGUGUCGCUAUGGGGCAGCGCCCCACUUAUGGGGUAGAGCUUCACGUACUUAUGGGACACAGCCACACUUGGGG
rnacentral:lncRNA from 1 species